UACGUAGGGGCAAGCGUUGUCCGGAAUCAUUGGGCGUAAAGGGCUCGUAGGCGGCCAACUAAGUCCGACGUGAAAUCCCAAGGCUUAACCUUGGAACUGCGUCGGAUACUGGAUGGCUUGAAUUCGGGAGAGGGAUGCAGAAUUCCAGGUGUAGCGGUGAAAUGCGUAGAUAUCUGGAGGAAUACCGGUGGCGAAGGCGGCAUCCUGGACCCGACAUUGACGCUGAGGAGGCGAAAAGCUGAGGGGAGCAAACGGGG
rnacentral:rRNA from 1 species